rnacentral:lncRNA from 1 species
AGGUAUACAUUUUCCAUGAAAAUGGAUCUAUGUUUGGAUUUGAUUAGUGGCUUUGACUCUGGAACCUCAAAAAAUUAGGUUCCGUGACCUGAUUUGGCAGCUUUUAACAAGGGUUCUUUUGCUUUAUGAUGAAAAUCGGUUGUCUUGAUUUUCUUCUAUAUUCUGUUUGAAAAACCAAAUCAUCUUCAUGAAGGCACUACUUGUAAAAAAAGGAGCAAGGAUCUGAAAAUGGAGGGAUUCAUUCCAUGUUGAUCGAGUGAGAGAGAUAUUCCACUAGAAGUUUCUGGUCAAGUGCAGGAUCUUUGCUGCAUGUUAACUUUGCUGCAUAGAAGUUGCAUUAUGCAUUUACGUCAUAGAAGUAAUAAAUGUCUGCAACUUUUCAAUUGCCUAGACCAUGAAAAUGUUUACAAUUAUCCAUACAUUCUCCUUGGUAUCAAGACUUCAAUGAUGCAAAGAAGCUCCAUGAAGUUCUCUUUUGUUGUUACCUGCAUUUAAGAUUUAUACAUAUGCAUUGUUUCCUUAAAGAAUUAAUUUGUUUAUAAAGCACUCACUUUUUCUAUAAUGCAGCAAAGUAUAUAAUACUGAGAGCUAAAAAAAUGAUUUUUCCUUGGUUAGAAAUGUUUUACGAUUUGGCUUUACGUUAUCGCUCACUUAUACAACCUACAGAUGCUAUGCUGUGAACUUGUCUAAUAUAGAAUGUACCCAUUGCAUAGUGGUUUAGGACCAUGGACUGCAUAAUGUGUGGCAUGGUAACUGGUUCGGUUUAUUGUAGUGCUGUAUGCAGUCUGCACAUCAGUAGAUAUGAUUGUUACUGUAUAAAUCAUGUCAUGCGCACAUGAAGACAUGAUUCAGGUUGUGUGUAUGAUUUACAGUUCAUCAUUUAUAAUUCUAUAAUCUUUCUGGCAGAUCCAACGAAAUUUACAGUUACGAAUAGAAGAACAGGGGAGGCACCUUCAAAUGAUGUUUGAGAAACAAUGCAAAUCAGGUAUUGACGUUGACAAGUUGAAGGCAGCUUCAUCUGCUUUGGAAAAUCCCUCUACUCUGUCCUCAGAUGCAAUCCAGGACUCCCCUGCCAAAAAUGAUUUGGAAACCGCCCAGGUAGACUGUGGCAAGACACCAACUGACACAAUUUAUGCCAACCCUGCACUAGAAGGAGGAUCACAGGAUCUGAAUAGAAAGCACAAGGUAUCGCCAACUGAAACUCCUGAAAAUUCUGAGCCAUACAAUACUGAUUCAAGUUUGCAGCCUGCAAAACGUCCAAGAACAGAUGCCUAGGCCAACAGCAUUGAAAUAACAGGUUGAUAGUGAUUCAUGGAGGAGUUUAAUCCUGAGUAGGACAGACUUAUAAAUAGAUCUUGAGAACUUUGAGGUUCUCCUGCUUCUGUUUAUGUGCCUCAUGCACACUCUAAUUAGUCCAUAAACAAGGUAGAUGGGAGAUUUUUUAUCGAAAUCUUUGUCCUCCUGUCUUGUACUCCUUUUUGUGAUGAGGCUAGAGGGUGUAUAAUUAUUGUGUAAACCAUUUUAUUAAUGGCAGAGAAUGGACUCCUCUUUCUGUGUUGAAUUGGUGUCUCCUAUUGUUUAGCUAUAAACGAUCUUCUAGCUCAAGCUUGGACAUGAGAAGUGUCGGUUUUGGCCAGCUUUCAGUACACACAACCCCUGCCACUGUUUAGAUAGAUUUGUGGAAUGUUGACAUUGCACCAAGGAAAGCUGUUCUGGUCUUGAUGAGUAACCAUGUGGAUUAAGCACAGGAGAUGACCUUUCACGCAAUUGAGUUGUGCCGUAUAGGUCAACCACUCAAUAUGCUGAAAACCCGUGGUUAUGCAAAUUCGAAUAGGUAACUAUCAGUUGACAGAAGAAUGCAGUGUUGCUUUAAAAAUAUUGGAUUACGAGGCAAAGCUUGAACCUUGUUGUCAGACAUAGCCAUAUAGGAGACCGAUCAAACAAACCAUUUUAAACAUGCAAUAUGAUAUCUUCAUCAUUUGGGUUUGAAGCAUUCUGUUGUAGGCAUAUGGGAAGAGUAGUGUCAGAAGAAUGGCCAAUCAAAAAGCUGAAGUUGCUUGAAAAGUGAUCCCUUUUUCGCCAAGUAACACUCCAUUUUUAUGAAGUAUUGAAAUGCACAAGCUUCUUGUGCAUGCGCUGACGAAAGCAGAACCUUAUCAGAGACUUAGUAUCAGAGCUGAUUGAAGCGCUUCUUGAUGGUGAUAUCAGCUGUAAGAAUGACAAAUUGGCCUUGAAUUUCUGAUGCACAGAGUUCCUUGCUGUCCUCAAGGAGGGCUGUGCCCAAGUGGGCUUCAUUGGAUCGAUGGAUUGUGACAAAUUUUACGAAAGUGGAAUGGAGGUAUCAUAGAUCAUUCGAUCUUUAGGGUAUUUGCAGGUUUUGUUAGAGAUUAGCAGUUUACAGUAAAUCAAAACAAGAGGAGGAAAAAACAAAGAAUUUAUUGGUAUAUCGAUGGCAGGCUGUAUUUUUAUGAUGUGAAUAUUCCUAAAUUUAUCUUGUUUUCUACAAUUUCUUUGUCGAGACCUUUCUUUGAAAGUUAGCAUCCAUAGGUGGGUGUAGACUGUGGAGUGUGACAGCAGGAAGGUGCAUGAUGUUUAAGCCUUCAAAAUCAGGGCGUAAGAAAUAAACUUGGUUGUAAAACCGAGCCUGGCCUAGGUCAUGAUUUUUUUUUUAAUUAAUUAGGGAGUUGAUCUCACAGAUCUGUGAGGAUCUGGUGAGAUUUAUUCAAUAAAUAUUUUUUUUAAUUUUUUUUAUCCAAAAUAAAUAAAUAAAUUUAAGUUAACCUGCCGAUCUAUAAAUUGAUCCAUUCACUUAUGACUCCGGCCAGGUGGGGUUGGUAAAACAAGACACUUCACUUGACCAAACAAAUGCAAUUAUUGUAAAAGAAAAUGAUCUCUCUAUAACUUAAUUAAAAAAAUAUUUUAGUUAACUCGAGUGAAUCAAUUAAAUCAAAUUAAUUUUUAUUUUUAUUUUUAAAAAUAUUAAAAUAAUAUAAUUUUAAUUUUUUUUAAAAUCAAAUUAAAUUUUAAAUGAAUUUUGCAGGUGAUAAGUUGAUUUAUCUAAAUCAAUUCUAACCUUAUUUAAUUUAAAAUUUAUUUUGAAUCAAUGUAGUAUUUGACAUUUAAGUAAUGAUUAUUUUUUACUUGAAAAUGCAUGAAAAUAAUAUAUUUUUUAAAAAAUUUAUUUUCAUAUCAACAAAUCAAAGCAAUAAAAAUUUAAUUUUAAACGUAAAAAAAUCAAAAUUUUGUAAAUCACAGUUUUUACUGGAAAAACAAAUAGAAACUACCACUACAUGCAUGUGCAUGUGCAUGCUUUUUUUUUUUUUUUUGAAAUUAAGUAGUUUGGUAUCUGAAACACCUUUGAGUCUAAGCGAGCUAAGACAGAACAAGCAAACUCUCUCUAUCCUUCUCCUACCCUCUACUUGACGUCUCUUAGACUCAAACCCACGACUUCUCAACUCACAGUUUGGUGCAUUACAUCUCUCGCAGCAUUACACACACUCAAAGCCACAGUUGAUAUCAGCUUCCAACCACCUCCUCUUUAAUACCCUCUCACCUCUCCUUCCUCUCCUCUCACCAUCCUUCUUUCACUUUCUCUUCAUCAGUUUUUUUCUUGCUGUUGUCCAUGGCUGGCCUUGUCACGGGCAGUUCACAGACCUUGCAUGCCAAAGAUGAGGUGCGUAUCAUCUUCUUAGUUUUACCUGUUAGUUCUUUGUCAUAAUCUUGUAAUGAGUAUUGUUUUAAUACUUGUAACGUACGUGCAUGGCAGCUGAGGCCUCCAACUCGCCAGUCUGCAACGUUGAAAAAAUGUAGAGUUUGUGGGGAUGAGAUUGGAGUUAAGGAAGAUGGAGAGGUGUUUGUUGCUUGUCAUGUGUGUGGCUUUCCUGUUUGUAGGCCUUGUUAUGAGUAUGAGAGGAGUGAAGGCAACCAGUCCUGUCCUCAGUGCAACACUCGAUAUAAGCGUCACAAAGGUUUGUCAAAGGUGCAUUUUCGUUUGUUAUAAGUAAACAUGUCAUGUCAAUCUAGUUCUUAACUAUGGUUAGUGUUGUGCAGGUUGUCCUAGAGUUCCUGGAGAUAAUGACGAUGAGGAUGCCAAUUUUGAUGAUUUUGAAGACGAAUUUCAGAUUAAGCAUCAUGAUCAUGACGAAUCCAAUCAGAAAAAUGUUUUUAGUCACACGGUAAAUCAAUUCAACAGAAACCAACCUCCUUAAUUUGUUGGCAUAAAUUAGAAUUUCUAGCUGAUUGAUGUCUGUUCAGUGAAUGGAGUUAUCAGUAAACCUGUCCACAAGAAUUAUUGUCCCCAUCUAAUGUUCAAAACCUGUUGAGUGAUUUGCUUCCUAAUCAUAAAUUAAUUAAACUAAUUUAGACUCUAAUUAUUGUUUAAUUUAUCGUUGAUAUCUUACUGAAUUCAAAGAAUAACCAUCUGUUAAUAGAGUAGGAAGAUCUUUAAGCUUGUGGGGUGAGUUUUGCAGGAAAUUGAGCACUACAAUGAACAGGAAAUGCACCCCAUUCGUCCGGCCUUUUCGUCAGCAGGAAGUGGUAUGCGAAUUUUGAUGAUAUGAUUUCACAUUAGGAUCUCUUUGGAAGAAGCUUUUUAUUUGUUCAUUCAUAUUCAUGUUCGUAUGGAUGAUCAGUUGCUGGUAAGGAUCUUGAAGGCGAGAAAGAGGGUUAUAGCAAUGCAGAAUGGCAAGAGAGGGUGGAGAAAUGGAAAGUUAGGCAAGAAAAGAGAGGUUUGGUGAGCAAAGAUGAUGGAGGAAAUGAUCAAGGAGAAGAAGAUGAGUACCUGUGAGUGUUUUUUGCAUCCUCAUCUUCUUCUUUGCAUUAAGAUGGUUCUGCUAUCGAUACU